rnacentral:rRNA from 1 species
UACGUAGGGGGCAAGCGUUGUCCGGAUUUAUUGGGCGUAAAGAGCGUGUAGGCGGCCAGGUAGGUCAGCUGUGAAAACUCGAGGCUCAACCUCGAAACGUCGGUUGAAACCACCUGGCUAGAGUCCGGAAGAGGAGAGUGGAAUUCCUGGUGUAGCGGUGAAAUGCGCAGAUAUCAGGAAGAACACCCGUGGCGAAGGCGGCUCUCUGGGACGGUACUGACGCUGAGACGCGAAAGCGUGGGGAGCGAACAGG